GAUUUCUUAAUUUGGGCAUAAAUUGGACUUUAGGCAGAAUUGCACAAAAUCAUCUGCCUCAUUUUCCCUUUCAGAGUCAGGAACACGAAUCGACCUGACUCCAGUCCCGGCACUCGGCGCGCUCUGGAGCCACCUCGUGGUCCUCCGUGAGCUGUGUAUGGCAUGAGAUUCAAUGCCCGCAGACAACAAGAUUUUGGUCCAUUAGCACUGAUGUAAGGCCGGCGGCCGGGGACGUUUCGCGGACCUGGCGAUCUGCCGGGAAACUCUGCCCCGCGGGGCCCCGGGCUCCCUUCCUCCUGCCAGGAACGAAGGUUCCGGGGGCUGGCUUUAGACUAUCCCCGAGCGGAAGCCCUCGUCCCCGGGGGAGACUUGGGCCCUCGCCUCCCUUCCGAAAGCCCCAGAUCUGCUUUCUCCGCUCGUUUUAGGCUGAGGAGUCAGCAGUGGCAAGAUGCGCUUUUGGUUUCGAUUUCCUGCGCCCGCCCGCCCCUGCUUCCUUACUCUCAGCGAGAGAAGGCUUUUGAAAAGCCAUAGAAAGAAGAGGGGAGAGAAGAAGAGCAGAGAAGAGCUGAGAGGAAGAUGAGAGCUGGGAGCGCAUCUGUGAGCAUUCUGGCCUGCAGCCUCCUGACGCAGGUGACUGUGAUCCCAGCAGUGUUCAUGGAAGCCCCCAUAUGUCUGGUAGAAAACACUAAUGAAGAGCUGACAGUAAACCCACAAGCCCUACAGAUUCUAACUUCCAUCGACAAGCCAGUGGUGGUGGUAGCUAUUGUUGGAUUGUACCGUACUGGAAAGUCCUACCUGAUGAACAAGUUAGCAGGAAAGAACUCAGGCUUCUCCCUGGGAUCCACUGUGCAGUCCGAGACAAAGGGUAUCUGGAUGUGGUGUCUCCCUCAUCCCAGCAAACAGGACCAUGUCUUAGUUCUGCUUGACACUGAGGGCCUUGGAGAUGUGGAAAAGGGUGACCCCAAGAAUGACUCGUGGAUCUUUGCCCUGGCCGUCCUGCUCAGCAGCACUUUUGUGUACAACAGUAUGAACACCAUCAACCACCAGGCCUUGGAACAGAUGCAGUACGUGACAGAGCUGACCAAGCUAAUCAAAAUCAAAUCUUCACCUAAUGCUGUUGAAGAGGAGUCUGAAGAGUUUGUGGGCUUCUUCCCAGACUUUGUGUGGGCAGUGCGGGACUUCACCCUGGAACUGAAGAUAGAUGGAUGCCCCAUUACCCCAGAUGAGUACCUGGAAAAUGCCUUGAAGCUCAGUAAAGGCAAUGACUCCAAAGUUGAACUAAUCAACCUCCCACGAGAGUGCAUCAGAAAAUUCUUUCCAAAGCGGAAGUGUUUUACUUUUGACCGUCCAACAAAUGAUAAAUCACUCUUAGCUCAUCUUCAAGAUGUCCAAGAAAGUCAGCUGGAAGCUUCGUUCAGGAAUCAAACAGAUAACUUUUGUUCUUACAUCUUUUCCAAUGCAAAACCCAAGACCCUUAGUGGGGGUAUCACGAUCAAUGGAAAUCGGUUGGGAAAGCUGCUGGAGACCUAUGUGAAGAUAAUCUCCAGUGGUGACGUUCCCUGUCUGGAGAAUGCAGUGUUGUCUUUGGCUCAGACUGAGAACCCAGCUGCUGUGCAAAAAGCUGCACAGCAUUAUGUGGAGCAGAUGGCCCUGAAGGUGGACUUCCCCACAGAGACUCUCCAGGACCUGCUAAGUGUACAUACACUGUGUGAGAAGGAAGCUCUCUCAAUUUUCAUGAAGCAUUCUUUCAAGGAUGAGAACCAGAAGUAUCAGAAGGAACUGGUGCAAAUUUUAGAAACUGAAAAAGAUGGUUUCAUACGUCAAAAUGAAGAAGUGUCAACCAAAUACUGUCAAGAUCACCUUGAGCAGCUCUCACAGUCCCUGAGAGAAGCCAUUUCUAAGGGAACCUUCUCUGUGCCAGGGGGUUACAAUAUCUACAGGAAAGAAAGAGAAAAAAUGAUAACUAAUUAUCAUCAACUGUCCAAGAAAGGGCUAAAGGCAGAUGAGAUCCUCCAAAAGUUUCUACAGUCAUUGGCAGUGACAGAAGAUUCCAUCCUGCAGACAGAUCAAGCUCUCACUGAACAAAAAAAGGCCUUGGAAGCUGAACAGAUCAAAAGAGAAGCAGCUGAGAAAGAGAAGAAGUUGUUGGAACAGCAACGAAUUGAAAUGCAGCAAAACAUAGAAGCUCAGCAGAGAAGUUAUGAAGAAAAAAUCAACCAAUUAAAAAAGAUUGAGGAAGAUAGGACCAAGAAUGUGAAAAAACAUAUAAAUAUGCGACUGGCUAAGCUAAAGAGAUGGAUGCCACAUGCGGAGUUGUGAAGAUCAUGAGAAGCUAUCAGAAGUCUGGGAACGUGAGCACAUGCUGAAAUUUGCUACAAACCAGACAGCAAGGACUCAAAUCCUGAACAACCUGUUUGUCUCAGCCCAUCAUAAAGGCAUCCAGUAGGGACCUACAGUGAAUCAACCAUUGACAUGGUGAUUUCAGAAGCAAACUUGGGAAGCAAAUGCUACGUAGAACCUGCUUUAAGUGUGAACCUAUUCUUGCCAGGAGAUUAUGAAGAGGUCAUCCAGUGAGAGGAUUGUGUUAGAAAUGCAGUUUCAAGUCCUUGAACUUCUCCAGGUCAACAGUCCAUUCAGCCAGAGGGUCCACUGGUCCUUUCACUCUGGUGUGAUGUGUCCAGUCUCGAUCUUGAGUCCUUACUGCAGAAUCUGAGGUCAGGAGCACCUAGAAGAGGCCUUCUCAGAUUGGGAGCAGCUUCUCCUGCCGUGUCCGGAUCAGGAGCCAAUCUCCUGGGUUGAACUUGUAUACAGGAAAUUCUAGAGGGGGUGCCUGAGCAAUAAUACCUUUAAGCUGGAUUUCAUGCAGAUGUUUAGCCAAAGCGACUACAUAACCCCUUAUAAAUCUAUCUUUACUCUCUAAGAUGGGGUCCCAAUUUUUUUAGGGAGUCCUGGAUAUGAAUGCCCAUAUAAAAGCUCAUAAGGGGAUAAUCCAAUGUCCCUGCAAGGUUUUGUUCUUAUUUUGCAAAGUGCCAGUGGCAAGCACUUGAUCUAGGACAGUUGAGUCUCAAGGGCCAGUUUAGUUAAUUGUCUCUUGAUUUCCCGAUUCCUUCUCUUCAUUUAUUGGAAAAAGAAGGGUUCCAAAGGGUGUGAAACCCCCAAGAAAUCUCUAAGGUUCACAUGAAAGACUGGAGUAUUUUAGCAGUUAAAUACAUCCCCUGAUCUGAGUCUAUUCUUUCCGCCAUCCCAUACCUGGGAUUAUCUGUUCCAAUAUGAUUUUGCUCACUGAAGAAGCAGUAGCUUGAGGCAACAGGAAGCUUCCACCCAUAAGAUCAGGUGGUCCACUAUGACCAGCAGAUAUUUGAGAUGCCUUGUUGGUGGCAGCUCAAUAAAGUCUACCUGGAUGCUCUGAAAAGGUCUAAGCCCUGGAAGUCUCCCUCUUGUUGGAGCACAGUAUUGGGCUGCCUUAUGUAUCCUUCAACGGCAAGACAACCAUUCACCAUUCACUGACAAGAUGGCGAUAUUUUAUCAUUUUCUUUCUAUCUUUCCCUUUACAGUUUGGUAUUUCAUUCCAAUUUUGUAGCUGGCUACCUAGUGGAGGAUCUAGUGGUAUUUUCAAUUUUUGCUCCAAAGAUUUGGACUGUUUCAUUCCCAUUUUUACUGAAGGCUUCCCUUCUGGAAUGCAGCUCUGAUCUAACUUGUGAUUCUGUAAAAUACAGAGCUGACUUCUCAACUCAAAUCAGCAAGCCUACCAGUUACCCAGAGUGCCCCUCAUCUGUGCUAUUUAUCGGGACUUCCUUCUAGCUUACUAGGAGCCACUCCUUUUCUUGGGUCACUAAACCCCCAAGGCCUCCCUUUUAGCCUAAGGACAGCCCAAAGGCGCAGGAAGUGCCUCUUACCUCUAGGUUAUGUACAUAAAUUAUCUGACUGUUCUCUCCCAACUGGUCUGACUUCUUCAGAAGCUUUUCACUUUCUGCUUUACUGAGUUCCUCCUUUCUGAUUGAAACUUCAUGGAGAGGGAGGAUGGAGUCUGAUCUGGAGGAUCAUUAGAGAAAACCCUCUCAAUGGGCAUUUGCCCCUUUUAUCAGAGCUCUAGCCACCUCUCCAAGAAGUCACGCAAUCUUGGCAUGAACUCCUAACUGUGUGAGAUGGAGUUAUAUUAAACCCCUUUACCCAAUUUGACUACUUGGAGGAGUCUCUAGGUACAACAGAAAGUUUUAAUUCAGUACUUGCAAAAAGAGGACCAACAUACUAUCUGAACAGUUCAGAAUAGAGUGGGCAAGUAUUGAAGGCAGAAGGGUACCUAUAUAGCACUAAAAUGGAAAUACACCCCUCCUUCCUGUUGUUUUUUACUUCAUUGAACAAACUGGAAAGGAAGCAACUAUUGGACAAUGGUCAGUGAGCUGUCUGCUUCCUGUGAGUCUUGUGACUCCCUGAGGCUCAAUCCUAGGGUAUAACCUUUGCUGCCUUAUGGAGCUCUGAGAAUAGAGAUAAUGUGACAUAGGUCUAAAGUCUGAUUUAUUUCAUUCAAAAGCUUUUUUUAAAAAUAGAUUGUCUUGUUUGACCCUCAUAAUGUUGGAAAGGGGACCCCAAAAGUUUGGGGUCACAAGCCAGUGUUGUGAGGUG